GACGAACGCUGGCGGCGUGCUUAACACAUGCAAGUCGAACGGGCCCGCUCUCUUUUUUGGGGGUGGGUUGAGUGGCGAACGGGUGAGUAUCACGUGAGUAACCUGCCCCCUGCUCCUGGAUAACUGCUUGAAAGGGCGGCUAAUACGGGGUGUGCCGGCUGGUCCGCAUGGGCCUGGUCGGGAUAGUUUCAUCUUCGGGUGUUUCGGUGGGGGAUGGGCUCGCGGCCUAUCAGCUUGUUGGUGGGGUGAUGGCCCACCAAGGCGGUGACGGGUAGCCGGCCUGAGAGGGUGGGCGGCCAGAAUGGGACUGAGACACGGACCAGACUCCUGCGGGAGGCAGCAGUGGGGGGUAUUGAACAAUGGGCGGAAGCCUGAUGCAGCGACGUCGCGUGAGGGAUGGAGGCCUUCGGGUUGUGAACCUCUUUCUCCGGUGGUGAAGGCCCUGUCCGUUGCGGCGGGGUUGACGGUAGCAGGGUAUGAAGCGCCGGCUAACUACGUG
rnacentral:rRNA from 1 species